AAGCCAAGAUCUCUGCACAACUACAGCAAAUGUCAAAGGGCUUUAAAGAUGAAUUAUUGAAUCUCACUGAACGACUGAAGAAAAUGGAUGCACAGAAUAUCCC